AACUAAUUUCCCACUUGGAAGUUGUGCUCGGUAGACGCUCCCAUAACCACCGGUUCCGAUACAAUAUCUGAGGUCAAAGUUCUCGGUCGCUGUAAUGAUGUCUUGGUAUGCAAUCGUCCCAUCAUAAUUCCAUACGGAAAACAAGUCUCCAUUCUUUGAUGAUGCUGGCUCAGGUUGGGUAGCCUUGCGUCGAGACAGAUAACAACAUCCGAGACACAAGAGACAAAGUGAAGUGGUGGUAAUAGGAAGAAAUAUGUUGAUGGAAUGAAUUAUUCUGUUGUCUUUUGAAGGUAACGUACAGUUUGAGAGAUCAGGGUGUAAAUAUUUGUUGCCCUCAAAUGCAGUAGCUUUAAAAGUAACUGAAUCGUUGGUAAUUUGCCCGUGAAGAGAGUCGCACCCCAAAAAAUCAGCGCGCGGCAUCGGCUGGCGAUUUAAAUCUCGUUUAUUGCGUUUGCUUGAAUUUGGUUCACUGGAGUCGCCACCUAGUAAUUGAUUGCGGGCUACUAGGAAACCGGAUGUACUGGUCUCGUCAGAGAUUCGCGGGUAAGGGACUGGUUGUGGUUAGGGAAGGUAUUAGCACCCCUAACGCACCCUACCUGAGGUAAGCUGCUUCGUGAAUUUGAUGUGUUAAAGAAGUUUUAAUAAUUGUCUUUUCAUCGGAAAUUAGAAAUAUCACUUACGUAUAAGUUAAUAAUUCUCAACCGCGAUCCGAUCAAAAUAUUAAAUUCUUCUUUAAUAGAUUUGCAAUUUCAUCCUAAAAAAUAAAUAAAGAAAUAAAUAAAAGAACAAAUUCAUAAAACAAAUACAAACACACACAUACACUUUCACUAUUUUUAUUUCUUUUCUUUUUUCUUUUCUUUUCUUUUACAUCCACUAUACAAAUACAAAUACAAAUACAAAUUCAAAUUCAAAUUCAAAUUAAAUAAAUAAAAAUACACCAACACACACAUCCUUUUUUUUUAUUAUUAUUUUCUUUUCUUUUCCUUUUUUUUUUCUUUUACAUUCACAUAUUACAAAUUUAAAAUAAAUAAACAAAAAUUACAUUAAAACUUUAAAAUUUACAAAAUGGUCCCUCAAAACUCCCGAAAUUGCAGGGAAGGACUUCUGCACCCGCAUGAACAGUUCCGGCGCGUCUUCCCACGCGCCUCCGCCACUGGCGGCGCGUGGGUUCACGCGCCGCCCAGAAAUUCAGGCGGCGUGAGGGGGCUGCAAUGGCUUCCUCCCCUCUUCAAUCUCCUGCUGCCCGUCACCUGCAAAACGAACAACAACACAAUCGGCAGUCGAUUUUAAUUUUGUUCUUUGUUUUUUUUUUUUUAAAUCUGCUUCGGAUCUGAUUUUUCGGUCUUCCUUUCUUCUCCGAUCUGCUCCUUCCUCUUGUUUUCAGAUCGUCUUCCAUGUACUGGCGACGACUGCUGGAGGCCGAAGCGGGUGGCGCCGCUGGGGAAAGGAGCUGCUGCGGUUGGCUUCGGUGGGCGCUGGGUUUCGUCUUCUUCUCCUCUGCUUCGGGUGGCAGAUCGGUGGCUUGGUGGAGAUGGAGAACGGCUCUGUGGGGAGGAGCUGGAAACCCGAGAUGGCAGGGAGAGAGAAGAGGGGCGGCGCUGAAAAAAGGUGGUGUUGUGGUCGGCUGAAGAGGUUCUGGCCGGCGGUGAGAUGGUGUGGGUUUGUGAAGGAUAUAUUAUCAACCGGCUGAGGGGGAGGAGAAAAUUCCAGCCGGUGAGUUGCUGUUUGGCCCGUGGGGAAAAAUCAAAUGCCAGGGGUCUUUGUUUCUCUGGUUUCGGCUGGGGAAGGAGGCUGAAAUGGGUGUCGGGUUGAAGAUGGAGGGGGCGGCUUCGGGCUGUUGUUUUGGAUUUGUUUGUGGCCGAGAGAAAGGGAACGGCGGAGAAGAAGAUGAAAACAGGGGGAGGCUGGUUCGGGUGGCCGGUUUUUUGGGUCAGAAAAAAUCAAACCGAGGAGCAACUCCGGGAGACCAAAAAUGAAAACCAGGGGGGGCGGCUGGUGUGAAGGAAAAAGGUUUUUUUUUUUAGGGUUAGGGUUUCUGUAUUUUUUUUCUUCUAAAAGUGUCAAAAUUACCCCCCCUUGAAUGUGUUGAGGAAACCAGUAUUUAUAGGCAAAAUGUUGCUAGGUUUUUCAACUUGGUCCCUCAACUUCUUUCUUUUUUGUAAAUUUUGAUUUUUCUUAUUUUUUUGUAUUUUUUUGAAAACGAGCAAUAUCAACGUCGACUUAAAUGCGAAAAAACAAUGAUUUAAAAAUGACGCGUGAAACGUCGAACGCCUUUGAAAAUCUUUUAACCAUUUAAAUUCUUUUUUUAGACGACGUUAAAAAUGCUAAAAUGACGAAAAUAUAUUAAAAAACAUAUUUUUGGAUUUUCUUUGCUUUUCUCAAUUUUUUGGAUUUUUUUGAAAAUAUAUCAAAACAUGGGUCAAAAAUUGGGUAGCAACAGAUGCCCCCUCUUUACAAUGCUUACGAAGCAAAACUCUUCAAAAUUUUGCAUAGUAAGCUUUGUAAAGAAAACAAAAGGAAAAUGAUUUCAUUAUCUUGGGCGACCUGCCCACACACUCACACUGAUCUGUUUUCACCGGCGACCUGCCCACGCAUACUCACUCUGGUCUAUUUUCACGGGCGACCUACCCACACGUACUCACUCAAGUUUUUUCACGGGCGCUGCCCACACAUACUCACUCAAGUCUAUUUUCACGGGCGACCUGCCACACAUACUCACUCAAGUCUAUUUUCACGGGCGACCGACCCACACUCUCCCAAUAGUCUAUUUUCACGGGCGACCUGCCCACACAUUGGGUUUUACCUGAGAUCCCAUCUGGCGACCUCAUUCAACUGGAACGAAAAUAUGUGUAACUCGGUUAACCUGAAAUCCCAUCUGGCGAUUCCCUUUAACCAAAGUUACAUGAGAUCCCAUCUGGCGACCUCAUUCAACUGGAACGAAAUAUGUGUAACUCGGUUAACCUGAAAUCCCAUCUGGCGAUUCCCUUUAACCAAAGCUACAUGAGAUCCCAUCUGGCGACCUCAUUCUGGUCUCAUUUUACGGGUGACUAACCCUCGAAAAAUGCUGGUCUCAUUGUACGGGUGACGAACCCUAGUGCUGCUGGUCUCAUUGUACGGGUGACGAACCCUAGUGCUGGUCUCAUUGUACGGGUGACGAACCCUAGAAAAAUGAUGGUCUCAUUGUACGGGUGACGAACCCUAGAAAUAUGAUGGUCUCAUUGUAUGGGUGACGAACCCCAGAUGGAAAAAAUGUGAAGUGCGGUCUCAUUGUAAUGGGUGACCUACCCACGUGGAAAAAAUAUGAAGUGUGGUCUCAUUGUAAUGGGUGACCUACCCCGAUGGAAAAAAUAUGAAGUGUGGUCUCAUUGUAAUGGGUGACCUACCCAGAUGGAAAAAAAUAUGAAAAACGGUCUUAUUAUGAUGGGUGACCUACCCAGAUGGAAAAAAUGUGAUAUGACAAGUGUGAAAAAUAGGACUUACCUGGCGAAGUCCUGAAGGGAUGACAAAAGAAGGGCUGGAAAAACUUGGUGCUUCCUGAUAAUUCCCGAUCAUAGGGUUUGAAAACUCGGUGUUUCCUGACUGUAAGGGUUGAAAACUCGAGGCUUCCCGGUUGCAAGGUUGAUCUAUUCAUUUCUUUGGGAUUUUCCUAAUGGUAGGGUUCAUCCCAUCGUCCUUUUAUUCCAUGAUCAAAACCGAUUCUUUAUUAUCAUCAUCACAAUGCUUCUUUCUCUUUCCACCAUCUUGCUGGACCUCAUUAAGGAUUUUCCUGUAACAAUUCAAAAAUAUGUGCAAAUGGUUUUUUUUUUUUUUUUUUUUUUUUGAGGUUAGAUGAUAUGCAUGCAUCCUUACCUGAUUUGAAAUAAUAGGUCCCCCCUCUUUGAUGCUCCAUCGUCAUAGGGUGCCCUUGUUUGUAUCCCAAAGCUUUCUUUGUUCUUCCGAUGUAUUGGCUCAUUCAUGUGUUAGCCAUCCACUCAGCUGUAAAUGCAGUGCCCAUCCCGGGCUGUCUUCGACAAUUACUGCUUGCAUCGUUCAUGAAGCUUGACCCUGCCCCAAGUGUAGUACUGCUUGAUUCAUCAUGAGAGAUUUUCUCUCCUGGCUUCUUCUGAGAAAUUAUCCUCUGAUUGAUUGUGUGCAUCAUGCCAACACCCAUCACGUUUGUUAAUCAGUCAUGAACUUGCCUUCGGUUGAAACACCAUUCAAGUAUGUAUGGUCACCAGCCUUCAUGGAACUGCCAAGUCAUCCAGACAUGUAUCUCAUGCUUUGCAGUAAACAGCUCAUCAUUGUAAGCGCGAUGUAUUUCUCUAUGGAUUCCUCUUAGCUUGUCAAAUCAGAUCGUGAAAAUACCUGCUUUGGCAUCAUCAAUGAUGUUCAUGUUAUCACCCAUAUUCAUGCGGUGAAGUGCGCAUUUGAGCUUCAGAAUAGAUGUCCCACAAUCAGUCUUCGAGGUGGGUGCCUUUCGACAUUCAUUCAGUGCAGUUGUGUGAUAACAUCUGUCUAUAACCAUAUUUCAAAGAAUGACAAUAUGAGAUUGUCCUUUAAGUGCAGCAUUGUUCCACAGUCAGUCUUGGUGGUAUGCAUCUUUUCUCCAUUCAAUUACAUUCAUCUGUGUAUUCCUCAUCGAUCGCGAGCCAUGUUUCAAAAAUGAUGAUAGGAAAGUGCCUUCAGGUACGUUUUUGUUUCUCCAUUGCCGACAGGAUUCACUAAAGCAUGGGCCAUUUUGGAAUGACAUUGCCCCCAGUAUGAUCGAUGUGCUCGUUCAUUGAUUAUCUGUCUUUGAACAUCAUUGUCUUCAGUUCACUGAUUCAUCAUUUAAACAUUGCCUCAUAGCUGAUCUGAGCACUGCUUGUUUUUCCUUUUCAAGGUCUACUGUAUUGCCCCCAGCUGCUCAACUUUUCAAGGAGUGUCGAGGACUUCAAUGUCAUUUCUAUCAACGAUUUUGCAUACUCAAUCAAUGUUCUUCUGUGUUUGAUAAUCUUCCUUGUUCUGGAAUCAACUCUCAUAUUUCAAAGAUCAUGUCUAUUCAAAGUCUAGUUUGUUGAAAUGAAAUCAGAGAUGUCUUUUUUGAAAAUCUUUUGAAAAUCAAGCUUUUUGAUCAAAGGCCCAACACAUUUUAUUCGAAAUAUAUAGUCCUUUGAUUGUCAUGCAUUUUGAAAACAGAAAUUGACCCAAUGUAGGAUUAAAAAUGGCUUUUUCCAUGGUUCUUUGUAUCAAUUUGAAUCCUUGAUAUUGGGUAUAUCAUUUGAUAGUUUAUGGUGAGGUGACCUUCUGUGAAUUUCAAGGAAAACAACAGGCUCAAGUCAAAACUUGAGGAUUCAUGAAGGAAAAUGUUUUGUUUUUAGCAAUAAUUUUAUCAACAUGCAUAACGACCGGUAACUUAAUUCAUGAAGUCACGACCUUAUGGAAAAACUCUUCAAGUUUUGAGAGCGCCAUUUAUCGGUUCAAUUGCUUGCUUGAUUAAAAAGGGCUUUUAAAAGCACGUAAUGCAGGCUAUGGUUCAUGGCUAUGAAAGAAAGGAAUUUCAGGCUCAAAAGGUGUUUGAGGGUUUCAAAGACCUAGGAUCAACAUCAACUAUUCAUCAACUUUUUUUAUUGUCUUGUAGAGGAAACGACAUAUAACCUUGUUAACCUCAAAGUUCGACUUUUCUUAACAUAAGUCAUAAUGCAAAUCCAACUUUCUUUGAGGAAUAACCAACCUUAAUCAUCUGAUAACAUCAUAGGUUUUAUAAUGGAUACCAAAAGUCAACGCUUAUAGCUUAGUCUUUUCUGGUAUUGACUUUUGUUGUGCCUUUCCUUGAUUGAAAUUUCUUUUGCUCUUCAUAGACUUGAUAGGCGUUCUCCUUCCUUUAUCUUUGACUUGUAUUUAAGUGAGGGCAAUUUCAACUUCCUUUUUUUCAUUCUCUUUUUUUUUCAUAGCCUUCCUCAAAAUUUUCUUAUAUGCCCCCAGUCUAUGUGUUUUCUUUUAGCUCUCUCUCAAUCAUUGGACCUUUGUUCUAAGCCUUCCCCUUUAUCCAUUAAUUAUAUCAAUGUCUCCAAAAUAUCUCUCAUUUGCCCCCAGUGUGGGGUGUGAUCCUAGUCAGGGUUUCUUUUUUUGAAAGAAAAUAUUUUACCAGGCUCAAAAUGGGACUGCAAGGGAUAUAAUCUUUAGAAAGUGAAGGGAUAUCAAAGAUGGCCUUUUCUCAUUUCAAGCAAGGUCGGUUAAACCGAUAAAUUUUGACCUCAUCCAGUGUAAUGAUUGGGACUUGUAAGAAUCAUGAUUCACGAGUCCAUAACUACCGAAUCCACUACAUGUCAUUAUGCAUACUGUUAAAACUUAGCUAUAUGAUGUGUGGUUCAGUUUCAAAAGGUAUGAGUUCAAAAUUGUUUGGUCACCUCAUGUCAUUUUCAAGCAUAGAGUCAUUUCUGUAAUCAAAACACUUUUAAUCUUCCGGAUUGAUUAACCUUUAUCGCAUGUUGGAGUUUGAUCAAAAUAUUUUGUCAGAAUAAAAUGCUAAACAUCUGUUGAUUUCAAAACAACAAAGAGACAAAAGCAAGGCAUGUUUCGUUGAAGGAUGAGAUGUGAUCCCAAAACAAAAUGCAGAAUUCCAUAACAAUAUGAUUGACUGUUCAUCACCAUUCUCGAAUCAGCUUUUCUGGCAAUAUCUGUGUUUUGCAAAGCAUUUUCGAUCACAUGUGAUUCUGAAGUUGUUCGGGGAACAAUAUAGCCAGUGACACCCUUCUUCAACGACUCCACUGUCUCUUGCUCACCAACUUUCAGACUCCAUUCUUGCAAUUCUUGAAACUGUUCACUUGAAAUGGUUGAGGACCCCACCAUGACAUCACAUCUCUUAUCUGGAUUAUACCACUGAGAAAUUGGUGGUUGCAUGGGAAUUUGUCGGAGUCAAGCAAAAUUCUGGAAUCUUGCGGAUGCUGGUCGACAACUUAAACGGCAGAGGAAUGUCCCAUCUUGGCAAAGAUAUUUGAGCAAUUGAUGAUGCUGUGAGACCUGGCUAUACCACAUAAUUAAGGGUUCACACUGUCAAAGUCAUCUCCUGAUUCACCUCUCAUCAUUGUUCUAGAAUCCAUGGCAGAUCCUUCAAUCUUUCUUCUCUUCAUAGCUUGUUCAAUUCUUCGGCAAAUCCUCACAGCAUUAUUUCAAUCUUCCAAUGUUGCUAUGGUUGGUUGAGGAUUGUUAGAAAACUUUCUAACAGCUUGGUAAUCUUGGCAGCGCCCAGAAACUUGUAGUAUCGCCACUACCGACGUGUGGAAUCACACAUUGUCUUUAUUGGAAGAGCACCUGAUGAAUCUAAAACUCCUUUGUCCCCUCUUCAAUUUCUCACUGACAGUGCAGCAAACAAACACCUAUAGAGGAAGUCCUGCUCUGUUGAAGUUUCAGUAUUCUUCAUGUUUUUCAGUCUAGGCAUGUAUCUUCUCUCUACUUUUGCAUUUUAAUACUGACACUGUUGGAGAAAAAUCAUAAAUGAUCUGAAACUACUGUAUUCCUUCUUGGAUUUCCCACUUGCGGAUCCACAAACAGAUUCCUGUCGGAGAGCUCUGCUACGUUGAAGUUUGAUGUCUGCUCAUAUUUUUCAAGCCAAGUCUGGCUCUUCAACCUGCUAUAGUUUCUUCGUGCUGAAACUGAUGAGAGAAAUAUUUGUAGCAUAUGCAAUUAGUAAAUCCCCUCUUGCAUUCCCAAUUUGCAGAGCCAUAAAUGGAUUUUUGUAGAGAGAGCUCUGCCACAUUGAAGUUUGACAACUGCUAAUAUUAUCAGACCAGGUCUGACUCUUCUGCCUACUACAAUGUUUUGCUGGUGCCACUGGUGGGAAAAGUUUCAAAGCAUAUGAAAUUAAUACAUUCCCUUUUGCAUUUGCCAUUGACAGAUCCACAAAUAAAUCUCUACAGAGAGAGCUCUACCGCGUUGAAAUUCAGUGUCUGAUCAUGGUUUUUUUUCAGACCAACAUCUUGUGCUGCUGAACUGGAAUUGAGCUCAUAAUUGGGUAACUUCAAGCAGACUAAUGCACCAUGACAGGAGAGUAGUCGUUUGGUUCCAUUAGAUGAUGUGGAGGCGAUGAACACUUACAGUGCAACUGGACAGAACAGUAACAGUGCAACUGGACAGAAUCAGAUUGUCAUUAGUUGAUGACUGAAGGCAUUGUUGUUGUUGUUCAUGACUGAAAAGGAGAGGUACAGCUUCAAUUGGACGUGAACAAGCAGUGUUCCCAGAAGACUGUGCAGACAUUUCUUUUCAUUUGAUGCUCAACACUUGUUCGAGCAGAUCUGAGUCUAGUUGUUUCACUUUGAUGCUCUCAACCUUAAUCUGAUAAUGACCUAUAUCUGACCUUUCUUCACUUCCUUCAUCUUUCUUCAAUCACGUGCAGCACAACUUGCGGGGACCUACUUUCGACCCGGUCAUGCAUGAUAAAUGUAUGAACAUGUAAUCUAUAUGAUGAACUUCCCUUCGAGAGGUGACAAUAUGGUCGUAACUCUUGUAUGAUGGACAAGAAUCGUGAUUUUUGUCCAAACUCUACAAUGAAAAUUUUCGGAGCAACGGCCAAUGUGUCACCCACAAGUCUUGAGUUCAAGAUGCUUCAAGAAGGGUUUGCUCUUAUGCAAAUUAAUGAUAGUACAUACAACCUAAGGAUAGGUUCUAUUCAUUAUGUGAACAUGGGUAGGUUUUCUAUCUGGUCUCAAAAGGGUCUCAUAUCUGCCCAGUGACGUUCUUCGUAAAGACAGUAUGGGGGCGUUGCAAGGAAUGGUUAAGGCACAUAUACCCACCAUUACCAAGCAGGCACUCAGAUAUGAGUUGGGUGUUUCACGCAUCUGAACCCCGACCAAUAGUCUUAGGGCAGAUCGCUAGUUCCCCACCUAACCUACAAGCUUGUGUGUGCUUUUAAAAAUAAAUACAGGUGAUGUAUGAGACAAUUCUAUAAAAUGCAUGGAAAUAAAUAUUAACAAAAAGAUAAAAAUGCAAAAACUUAAACACAUCAAAUACACAAAGCUUAGUCCAAUAAUCGAAAAAAUACCUUCCCCAGUGGAGUCGCCAUUCAGUCGCACCCCAAAAAAUCAGCGCGCGGCAUCGGCUGGCGAUUUAAAUCUCGUUUAUUGCGUUUGCUUGAAUUUGGUUCGCUGGAGUCGCCACCUAGUAAUUGAUUGCGGGCUACUAGGAAACCGGAUGUACUGGUCUCGUCAGAGAUUCGCGGGUAAGGGACUGGUUGUGGUUAGGGAAGGUAUUAGCACCCCUAACGCACCCUACCUGAGGUAAGCUGCUUCGUGAAUUUGAUGUGUUAAAGAAGUUUUAAUAAUUGUCUUUUCAUCGGAAAUUAGAAAUAUCACUUACGUAUAAGUUAAUAAUUCUCAACCGCGAUCCGAUCAAAAUAUUAAAUUCUUCUUUAAUAGAUUUGCAAUUUCAUCCUAAAAAAUAAAUAAAGAAAUAAAUAAAAGAACAAAUUCAUAAAACAAAUACAAACACACACAUACACUUUCACUAUUUUUAUUUCUUUUCUUUUUUCUUUUCUUUUCUUUUAUAUCCACUAUACAAAUACAAAUACAAAUACAAAUUCAAAUUCAAAUUCAAAUUAAAUAAAUAAAAAUACACCAACACACACAUCCUUUUUUUUUUUUUUAUUAUUUUCUUUUCUUUUCCUUUUUUUUUUCUUUUACAUUCACAUAUUACAAAUUUAAAAUAAAUAAACAAAAAUUACAUUAAAACUUUAAAAUUUACAAAAUGGUCCCUCAAAACUCCCGAAAUUGCAGGGAAGGACUUCUGCACCCGCAUGAACAGUUCCGACGCGUCUUCCCACGCGCCUCCGCCACUGGCGGCGCGUGGGUUCACGCGCCGCCCAGAAAUUCAGGCGGCGUGAGGGGGCUGCAAUGGCUUCCUCCCCUCUUCAAUCUCCUGCUGCCCGUCACCUGCAAAACGAACAACAACACAAUCGGCAGUCGAUUUUAAUUUUGUUCUUUGUUUUUUUUUUUUAAAUCUGCUUCGGAUCUGAUUUUUCGGUCUUCCUUUCUUCUCCGAUCUGCUCCUUCCUCUUGUUCUUCAGAUCGUCUUCCAUGUACUGGCGACGACUGCUGGAGGCCGAAGCAGCGGGUGGCGCCGCUGGGGAAAGGAGCUGCUGCGGUUGGCUUCGGUGGGCGCUGGGUUUCGUCUUCUUCUCCUCUGCUUCGGGUGGCAGAUCGGUGGCUUGGUGGAGAUGGGAGAACGGCUCUGUGGGGAGGAGCUGGAAACCCGAGAUGGCAGGGAGAGAGAAGAGGGGGCGGCGCUGAAAAAAGGUGGUGUUGUGGUCGGCUGAAGAGGUUCUGGCCGGCGGUGAGAUGGUGUGGGUUUGUGAAGGAUAUAUUAUCAACCGGCUGAGGGGGAGGAGAAAAUUCCAGCCGGUGAGUUGCUGUUUGGCCCGUGGGGAAAAAUAAAUGCCAGGGGUCUUUGUUUCUCUGGUUUCGGCUGGGGAAGGAGGCUGAAAUGGGGUUGUCGGGUUGAAGAUGGAGGGGGCGGCUUCGGGCUGUUGUUUUGGAUUUGUUUGUGGCCGAGAGAAAGGGAACGGCGGAGAAGAAGAUGAAAACAGGGGGAGGCUGGUUCGGGUGGCCGGUUUUUUGGGUCAGAAAAAUCAAACCGAGGAGCAACUCCGGGAAACCAAAAAUGAAAACCAGGGGGGGCGGCUGGUGUGAAGGAAAAAGGUUUUUUUUUUUUAGGGUUAGGGUUUCUGUAUUUUUUUUCUUCUAAAAGUGUCAAAAUUACCCCCCCUUGAAUGUGUUGAGGAAACCAGUAUUUAUAGGCAAAAUGUUGCUAGGUUUUUCAACUUGGUCCCUCAACUUCUUUCUUUUUUGUAAAUUUUGAUUUUUCUUAUUUUUUUGUAUUUUUUUGAAAACGAGCAAUAUCAACGUCGACUUAAAUGCGAAAAAACAAUGAUUUAAAAAUGACGCGUGAAACGUCGAACGCCUUUGAAAAUCUUUUAACCAUUUAAAUUCUUUUUUUAGACGACGUUAAAAAUGCUAAAAUGACGAAAAUAUAUUAAAAAACAUAUUUUUGGAUUUUCUUUGCUUUUCUCAAUUUUUUGGAUUUUUUUGAAAAUAUAUCAAAACAUGGGUCAAAAAUUGGGUAGCAACAAAGAGUUAAGUCACAUGUGAAAUAAAAAUCAAAGGGUGGUGGCAAAUUCAAGGGAACAGGGCCUAAGAGAUUAUUGUAACUAAAAUUCACAGAAGACAAAGAAGGAAAAUCAUAUAGUUUGGAGGGUAUCUCUUCACUUAAAUUAUUGAAGCUCAAAUCUAGGUAGGUCAAAUUAUUACAAUACUUUAAAGAUGAAGGAAUCAAACCAGAGAUAUUGUUUGAACUCAAAUAUAAUUCCUCCAAAUUUGUCAAGUUCUGUAUUUCUAAAGGGAUGGAUCCGUUGAUUUGGUUGUGAGAGAGGUUUAGCCUUAUCAAGUUUGUUAAAUUGCCUAACGAAAAAGGAAUCAAACUGGUGAUUUGAUUGUAGGAAAAAUCUAGAAGAAUCAAAUUGGAUAAAAGACUCAAAGUUGAAGGAAUCGAACCACUGAUAUUGUUUGAACUCAAAUAUAAUUCCUCCAAAUUUGUCAAGUUCUGUAUUUCUAAAGGGAUGGAUCCGUUGAUUUGGUUGUGAGAGAGGUCUAGCCUUGUCAAGCUUGUUAAAUUGCCUAACAAAAAAGGAAUCAAACCAGUGAUUUGGUUAUGGGAAAGAUCUAGAAGAAUCAAAUUGGAUAAAAAGCUCAAAGUUGAAGGAAUCGAACCACUGAUAUUGUUUGAACUCAAAUGUAAUUGUUCCAACUUUGUCAAGUACUGUAUUUCUAAAGGGAUGGAUCCGUUGAUUUGGUUGUGAGAGAGGUCUAGCCUUGUCAAGUUUGUUAAAUUUCCUAACAAAAAAGGAAUCAAACCGGUGAUUUGGUUAAAGGAAAUAUCUAAAUCUUCAAGGUUCGUCAAAUUUCCUAUUUCCAAAGGAAUGAAUCCAUUGAUUGCGUUGCUAUAAAGGAUCAAAGACCUCAACUUGGCUAAACUACCCAUUGUUCGAGGGAUUGGACCAUUAAGUGUAUUAUAACUCACGUCCAAACUCUCUAGAUUUUUCAUGUUCCCUAUUUCUCUGGGGAGGGCACCUUCGAGUUUAUUAUAACCCAUAUGUAAAUGCGUUAGAUUGUCCAAGUGACAAAGUGCCGAAGGGAUUGGGCCGCUGAAGCCGUUAUUAGACAAGCUCAAAGUAACAAGAUUUUUAAGAUUGCCUAGUUCUGGAGGGAUGGAAUUCAUGAAAUCAUUGGAAGAAAAAUCAAGCUCAACCAAUCGGCUGAGAUUUCCAAGUGAAGACGGUAACUCACCUGCUAGAUAAUUUGAGGACAGGUUGAGGUAUCUGAGGCGGGAUGCUCCCACUGAGCUCAUGGUUGGGCAGGUGGAGACGGGCAAGGUUUGAGAAGCAAGAAAAGUUCAUCUUUCCAAACUUAUUUCCCACCCUGAGGAACUCUGGAAGUGGGGACAUCUCAAUGAUGCUUCCAGCCCGAUCACGGACUAUGCCAGUCCAGUUGCAACGAUAUGAGGUGAGGUUGCUGUAGUCACUCCACCAUCCACUCUCAAGCAAAGCCUUGCCUUCUGAUGCUAGCAAGGCCGAGUCAUCAAGUGCAGCCACAGAUACAAAAAUACAGGACAACAAAAAAGAGACGCUUAAAAUUGCAAGAAGUUUUGGCUCAUAAUCAAUGGACGCCAUGUUUGUGUCUAAUGCUUCCCUUCAAUGAUAAUGCUAAAUUUAUUAAUGAAGUGCAUGGCAUCAAUUCCCAUGGACUCGUUCCAAGUCAAGAUCGUCUGGUCUUUCACGUGUACCUUUCUCGCGUUGUGAUUAAGAAAAAGGCUUACAAAUCACCAAUAGUGGAUUUUGGGAAAUUAAGAAGGCCAGUCAGUUAAUUCUAUUCUCUCUGAUUUUCAUGGAAAGAGACCGAGUAGAAAAAUAAUGCUAAUACAUAGUAGUUUUUUGAUCAUCGUACGUGCCAUUAAAUUUUGGAUUUGAUCCUUAGUCAAUCCGUAUUGCCAUGUCUUGUAGAUUUAAGUUGAAAUAGUGAAACAUUAUCAAACAUGCAUGCUCUUCGAGGCUCUUGUUCAGUUCAAUAUGAGAUCAAAGUUGAUAUUUUCAGCAAGGAACCAUGAUCUCUCCUACAUUUAUGUGCAUUGAAGGUUUGUUGAUAUCCUGUGCAUUUUCAGCAAGGAACCAUGAUAAAAAAUUUUGAGACACGAUUUUCAUUGAAGGUCAAGAGUUUGGAUUUGAAAGUAAGCAAGAAAAUGCCAGAUUUUUAUUAUGUUAAUAAUUAUUUUUUUUAAUAUUUUUUAUUUGAAAACAUAUUAAAAUAAUAAAAUUUUAUUAAAAAAUUAUUUUUCACAUCAUCAUAUCAAAACAAUUUAAUAAUAUAAAAGUUAAUUUUUUAUUUUCACCGCAUUCAGAUUUUUGAUUAAAAAAUAAUUAAAUAAAAAAUUAUUUUUAAAAAAAUACAAUUUCAACUGUAUUUUCAAACAACUUUUAAAGUUUAAUUUGUAAAUAAUGUAAGUAUAAUUUUUUUUCUUAAACUUUUUUCCAGAGAUAAUCGUAGCUGCAAUGUAAUAUUUUUAAUUUUUAUAGAUUCUGUAUAUAUUGAAUUGGGAAUUGGAUUGCUUUUUUUUUUUUUACAAUAACAGUAGAUUGGUUAGGUUGGACUCGACUUGUAGGCUAGGAAAAGCUGAUUAUUAGUCUACAUUGACGUGCAACAUCAGUCGGUGUGCGCGCGCGGGGGGGCGAAUAGUGACGAUCUUGACUCAAACUACUUCAAGGCCAGUUUGCCAAUUAUCUACUCUACUUGGGGGUGAGCAAAACCGGUUCGGUUCGGUUUUAUCUAAAAACUAACCAAAACUGAAAUUUGAAAAACUAAAAAAUUCAAACCGAAACCGAACCGGAACCGGUUCAAACCGACCGGUUGCGGUUCGGUUCGGUUCGGUUUUUUUUUCAUAAAAACCGAAAAACCUGUACUAUUUCUUCGUGAAUCAAACUGUUUGGAUCUUAUAUUUCUAAUCAAUUUAACAUGAUUUUUAGAGUGAACAACCAUUAAAUAUUUAUCUUCUGUUUCUUUCCCACUCAAAACCACACACGAUUCAAAGGUAAUAACAAUAAUAAUAAGUCUAGUCAUAAACCAUCAAAUAAACCAUUAAAUAUGAUAUUCAUGAAGAGAGAAUAUAUGUAGCAUCCUUCAAGAUUCUUGCUUUGAAGCCAAGAAGAGCUACUCUGUCCGCCUCUGCGCAAACUGAGGUCUGCAGCGGGGUUAUUGUUUGAGCAAGUAACAGUGGUGAAGCAUGAAAGAAGGAUAGCAAUAAAAGCUUAGAAACCCAUCUUAGAAUCUGCAGGAGAAACAAUAAUAAUAAGUCCAAUCAUAAACCAUUAAAUAUUUAUGUGUUCAUAGUUAUCAGCUACUUGGAAUUCAAACAGCUAAACUUAAAAAGAUUAUACCUUUGCGUUGGUUGGUGAAAGGGAGAGAACGAGAGAAUGAGGUGCGGCUGUGAGGAUUGAGGUGCGGCUGUGAGGAGAUGGAGUCGCAGUCUUUAGGGUUAAUUAGGUUAUAGAAAGUGAUUUUUUUCCCCUAUUUAUAGUACCCUUUAAAUCGAACCAGUUCGGUUCGGUUGGGGUUUUUCUGGUUUCUGGUUUUGGAAACCGAAACCGAACUGAACCGAAAUUUUUUUAAAAAAAAAUAAUCGGUUUAAUCGGUUUUUUUUUUGGUUCGGUUUUUUCAGUUUUUUUUUCUUGGUUUACUCGGUUUUUCGAUUUUUUUACCCACCCCUAACUCUACUUAUGAAACAAAGGGCCUACAAGACGUGGCACUUAAUUCAUUCAUAAAUUUCGCAGGCAAGCACUAGACGCAAACAUGGCCUCCAAGACGCGAGCGAAGGGGACGUGGGUGGGUCAACCCAAGGAGGGGAUGGUAAGGAACUAGGAAGAUUCAUGGAGUUAGGGUCGUCGUAUGUGUGUGUGUGGAGGGUUGUGUAUGUGGGUAGGGUGGGGCCUUCUUCUUAUUACCAUAGGCAUGCUUGAUAUUUUUCCAGGACAUUAAACCAAAACACUGUCAGUCUCGACUCAACUACUUCAAGGAAAGUUUGCCAAUUGCAUGUUCUUGGAAACAAAGGCCCCACAAGACGUGGAAUGAGUCCAUGAAAAAGCCAUGCACUUAAUUCAUUCAUAAAUUUCGCAGGCAAGCACUAGACGCAAACAUGGCCUCCAAGACGCGAGCAAUUAUUAUUCACACGGUCUCUUUCCAUGGAAGGAUGGAUUGACUGCCUGGCCUUCUUAGUUUUCAAAUGCCACUGUUCGUGAUCAAAAAUAGAAUGCCUGUUCUUUUGAGUGACAGAUUGUUGAGACCAAUAAAAACAAACUGAGAGACGUACGAUAAACCAUUGGUGGUGAAAUUUCAUGCUCUCAUUUUAACCCAUCAACUCACAUUGUUCAAGUUCCAUUUUAUUUGACGCUGCUUUACCAUGACUGUUGGCAUUGCAUUUCGUCAGUUCUUACUUUUUGGUGCUGUGAAUUGCUUAACAAUGUAAGCUAGACAAUAAACACCGGUUUUGGACUUUCUCUACACCACAACUGUUGUGUGUGGUCCCGCACCAUGUGAUGGUGGGACCACCACAUUAAUUGGCAAGAGACUUGGUCAGCUCUCUUUAAUUUAAAAACACAAAUAUUUACUGUAGAUGACAGUAGUGAAAAACAGAGAGAGGAGAAGAAAACCGAGAGAAAGAAAGGAGUGAGAUCGGAAGAGGUUCAGCAGGAAUGCCGAGACCGAUCUCGUAUCCGUCUCUCUGCUUGCUGAGUCGAGACACGCAGGGAUGAGAUGGCGCCGCACUGACCCUAUAGUGCUAGACACGUUUCUAUUCAUUCUGGACGGUUGGAUCGAAGAUUGAUGGCGUGGAAGCUGGCCGUUUUGACAGAAAACGGGGCUGUCAGUUUGUGAGUUUUUCUCCAAUAAUUCUCUUAUAAUCUUGUUGUAAUCCGAGAAUAAGUUGUUCUUGAUGAUAUUAUGUUGUAUCCCUUAGUUGAAUCUGAGGAAGAACAGUUGUGAACCCAUUAUUGUUGAUAGUGGAAGUUUUUAGGUGGAUUACGGUCCCGUGGUUUUUCCCGUAUCGGGUUUUCCACGUAAAAAUCUUGGUGUUGAUUUGUGUGAUUUUUGCAUUAUAUUUGGUCAUUGUGUUGAUUCUGUUUUUACUGCACAAAGAGGGAAAUAAUUGGGACUUGUGAAUUGUAUUCCGGUAAAUUGGUGUCCGGUUAUUCUUAGUUUUCCCAACAACAACUACAUCAGUCUUUCAAGAUUACAGGUUCGAUCCCUUCAGAAAUUGGGAAUUUGAAGAAUUUGUAUGGACUUUCUCUACAUCUCUGGUUCCAUUCCUUUUUCAUUAGAUAAUUUAAGAAACUUUGCAUUUCCAUACCUCUCUUACAACCAAAUCAACGGAUCCAUCCCUUUAGAAAUAUGGAACUUGGCAAAAUUGGAAACAUUAGAUCUUAGUUCAAACAAUAUCAGUGGUUCCAUUCAUUCCAGAGCAGGCAGUUUAACCACUGAGCUCAUGGUUGGGUAGUUUGAGUCAAGAUUGUCAGUAUUGGGAGAGCAACCAGACAUGGUUUAAUGUCCUGGAAAAAUAUCAGCCACAUUAGCAUGCCUAUGGUAAUAAGAAGAAGGCCCAUUUCUGUUUCUACAAGAAAACACAAUUAAUGUCAGUGUUGGAUUAACUCGAUGAUUAUGGAAGGACCAUCUUUUUUGGAAUAUUGAUGAUGCUCUUUUGUAGUGACUUUUCUUUGCAAUUUGAUAGGUGGAGCAGUAAACUCCAGCACAAGCACCGUAGCCCUCUGGUAAUGUCAGAAAAUACUUUUGUUUAAAUUUCCAAAAUCUAUUGCAUUUGAUGAGCACCAUGCCCAUAUAUAAACUUCUUCGGGGAAAAUAAAAUAAAGGAGCGGGAAUUAUGUGGGGGCAGUAAACUCAAGUGAAGAAAACAAUACGAGCACCAUACCUAUAUCUAGCAUUCCAAAAUACAGAAGGAAUGAUCUUUUUUUCUUUUCCACGGAAAAAGCCGAAUCAGCUUCAACAUUCCUUUAUUAUUCCAGGAAUAUCUAUCUUUUUACUAAAACUAAUAAGUGUUUUACCAUAACACAGGUUACUGUGCACUGUAAGUGAAUUUAGUAUGAAUUGUACUAUCACAUACUGUAGCGCGAAAUAAUGAGUGCUUUCACUGUGGACUGCAUUGUUUGGUAAGGGCAUGUGUGAGGUUGCAGCCAGCAAGCCGCAAGUGUCAGGCUGGAGGCGCAUCUACUGGGGCUGUCGACACUUGGCACUUGGCUGCCAAGCCUAGGCACUGGGCAUGCAACGUCUGUUGGUCGCCCCCCAAGCUGUAGUCACCUGGUGCUCGGUUUGCCCAGCAUUGGGCGCUUGGGUUGUCUGCAUGUGUGUUGGGUUGACCAAGCGCACAUGUGGCGCUUAGGCUGGCUUGCAGUGGCGUGAGCCAGACCGGCACCCGUCCAAGGAGAAUGGAUCCGGCGUCAGGACCCAAGCUCAAUUGGCCUUGUAUAAGGACCCAAUUCAAUUGGGUUAUUCAUCAAGACCCAAGGUUCCUAGGUCCUAGGAUUCUAAAUAUAAUUAUUUGUAUCAUAGUUUUAAAACCCGACCUGGCGGGUCAACCCAGGACCCGGCUGACCCGGGGCUGGAACCGGACUGGGUUGAUGAACAAACCCGCAAAGAAAUUGGUCCGGCAAAACCCGGUCAACCCGCAUAAGACCCGGUUGUUUUAUAUAUAUAAGUAAAGUCAUUUUUUGCUUUAGCUUUUUACUAUCAAUUAAUCAAACCAUCUGCAACAUAGACAAAAUAAACCCAAUCUCUUCGAUCUUUGAAGCCAUAUCAGUUGCAAAGAAGAGUAGACAAAAUUAAGCCACAUGCAAAAGACUUCAAGGCAAGUCAUGCCAGAUUUUGUCCCCGUCUCUCUUUUGGCCCUCAGCAAUCACUAAAUCUGUUUUUGCAGGGUGUUUUUUUUUUUUUUUUUGGCUCUCUUUAGUUUAGAUAUGCAAAUCAAGGUUAGAUGAAGUUUCUGUUACUUAUUUCUCUAGUGGAAACAAAGAGAUCAAUAACUGGGAUUCCUUCUUUGACACAACUUUCUUCUUCUUUUUUUCCUGGGAAAACAUUGAACAUGGAUAGUUUCUGUUGAUUACAGGAGUGGAGCAAAGAGAGGAAAGGGUGAAGGGAGGCGAGCAAGACAAUUUCUGUAGCUUUUCAAUGUAGAGAGAAUUUCUCAAUAUAGUGGGGUGGGGUGGGGUGCUGUGUGAGAUUUCAAGGAGAGUGAUAAGAGGGAGGCAUGAUCAUGAGAGUAAAAGAACCAAAGAGAGCCAAAUCAAGACAACUUUUGCAGCGCUUCAUGUUUGGUAAAAGAACCGUUUAGAAAAGUAAACCACGCUCCGACCAUUAAUGAAAAUUUCACGGGAAAUAUAUAUAUUUUUUUUAUCUGGGUUAACUCGAGUCAACUUAUAUGACCUGUGAUCUGAUUAUUAUACCAGGUUGAUUACUGGAUCGGGUUUUAAAACUAUGAUUUGUAUUGUAAAUAUUAUUAUUUUUAUUAUAAUUAGUAUUAUUAAUAAAAUAAUUAAUAAAUUUGAAAUAAAAUAUUAUUACUAAUAUUGAAAACAUAUUAUUAUUUAAAUUAUAAUUUUUUAUGAUAUUUUUUAUAAAAAUAAAAAGUGAGUCCGCGGCUUAGUAUUAUUAAAAAUAUUCAACAAUUCUAAGUAUUAAUAAAAAAAAUAUUAUAAUUUGUGUUGUAAAUACUAUUAUUUUUCUUCUAAUACAAAGUAUUCAUAUAAAAAAUAUUAUUAUUUGUGUUCUAAAUAUUCUUGGAAUUAAAAAUACUAUUAUUUGUGUUAUGAAUAUUCUUAUUUUUAUACUGUCAUCAUAAUCAUCAUUAAUAAAUUUUAAAAAAUUAUUGUUACUGUUGAAGAAAAACCACAGGGGAACACGUUACUCUUGGGCUUCCUACCUUUGUACUGCCAGACCAAGCGCACAAGAACACUGGGGCUACGCCAAGACCUAACUAUCCUUAGAUUCCGCAUGCUGCAGUACCCAAAAUAAUCUUGGAUCAUUAGUUAUACAAGACCCAAAAUAGACUUCUAUCGUGCAAUAUAUAGAACCCAACUUUUUUAUGUAGUCACUCCACCAUCCACUCUCAAGCAAAGCCUUGCCUUCUGAUGCUAGCAAGGCUGGGUCAAGAGCAGCCACGAGACCAGAACUAGAUACAAAAAUACAGGACAAGAAAAAUGAGACGCUUAAAAUCGCGAGAAGUUUUGGCUCAUAAUCAACGGAUGCCAUGUUUGCGUGGUAAUGCUUCCCUUCAAUGAUAAUGCGAAGUUUAUGAAUGAAGUGCAUGGCAUUCCCAUGGACUGGUUCCAAGUCAAGAUCGUCUGUGUUUCACGUGUACUUUUCUUCCUGUCUUUUGAAACCAAAGAUGAUGCAUGGUCAAUGCGUUCACUGCAAGACUUUUAAUUCUAUCAAUUCCAAUGCCUAAGACAAUAGCUUCAGAUUGUUCUAGCAAGUCCUUUUCUUUUUCCACAAAGGAGCAAAAGGUUCACCAAUAGUAUCAUUUGGAAAUUAAGAAGGCCAGUCAGUUAAUCUAUUCUCCCUGACUUUCUUGCGAAGAGAUCGAGUAGAAAAUAAUCCAAAUACAUGUUUGGGGAUUUCAUUCUAAGUCUAUCCGUAUUGCCCACGUCUUUUAGGCCUUACUUUCAUAAAUAGAGUAGACUAGAUAUUGUUAUUACUAUGUUGCAGCUAAGAUUAAUUUUUUUAUGGUUAAAAACUAUGUAAUUGUUAUUAUCGUGUUUUUUAGUUGAAAAAAAUUAAAACAUGUAGAGGUUAUGUUGAAGUGACCUAGUUAACUUAACGGGUUAAAAAGCAAUUUGAAAAACUUUUAAAAAUAUAGUUUCAUUAAAAAAAUUCAAGACGGCAUGUUUUUGAAAAAAUAUCGAGAUGAAACCAUAUUAAAUUGACUCGGGUUAACCUGUUAAAUUCACGACUCGAAUCAUAAGACCACAAUAACCACAUACAAAGUAAAUCAAAAUCAAAUAUAAAACUCAAUUCUCAAUUAAACCAAUGUUAAAAGAUGAAAUAAAAAAAAUCAAUUAAAAAAGAGACCAAAAAACAAACAACUCAAGUUAACCUGUCAAAGCUGCUACCUGAGUCAUAUAACUGAAAUAACUCAUUAUAAAACAAAUUAAAAUAAGUUAUAAAGUUUAAUUCUCAAUCAAUCAAUGUUGAAGGAUGAAAUUGAAAAAAAAUCAAUUCAAAAAAACUGAAUCAACUCAAGUUAACCAACCAAACUCGUGACCUAUAUAAUAAGACCGAAUAACUCGUAGAAAGCAAAAACAAAUAUGAAGCUUAUCCCAAAUCAACCAAAUAUUGAAGGAUAAAAUUAAAAAAAAAUUAAACUAAAAAAAGGACAAAUAAACCUGAGUUAACCUACAACUCGAGAUAAGAAAUCUCAUUAUUUAGGGAUGAAAUAAAAAAAAAUAAAAACAAAAAAACAUGAGUCAACCCAGUUAUUAGCCAAAUUGUGACCCAGUAAUGAGGCUAGGAUAACUUUAUAGAAAGCAAGACAAAAAAAAAUUGAAGCCUGAUUCCAAAUUAAUAAAUGUUGAAGGAUAAAAUUGAAAAAAAUAUUAAAAAUAACAAAAAAAUUGAUCUGAGUUACAUUGUCAAACCCAUGAUCCAGAUCAAGAAAUCAGGAUAACUUUAUAGAAAAUAAAUAAAAAAACUAAGUCAUAGAAAGUAAAUAAAAAAAUUUAUGAAGCUCAAUUUUCAAUAAACCCAUUGUUGAAGGUUGAAAUUGAAGGGAAAAAAAUCAACAUAAAAACAAGAUACAAUAAAACGACCUCAAUCUACACGAGUUAACCUGCAAAACAUGUGAUCCAAGACAUAAGAUCGGGAUAUUCUCAUAGAAAACAAACCAAAUAAAUCAUGAAGUCUAAUUCAUAAUCAACUCAAUGUUGAAAGAUAAAAUUGAAAAAAUACCAAUAAAAAAAAACUCGAGUCAAUGGUUAACCCACCAAACUCACGACUCGAGUCAUGAAAUCGAGAUAACCUUAUAAAAAACAAACCAAAAUAAAUCAUGAAGUAUAAUUGUCAAUCAACCUAAUGUUGAAAGAUGAGAUUGAAAAAAAAAUGUCAAUUAAAAAAAACUCAACUCUAUCGAGUUAACCCGCCAAACCUUACAUAGAUUAUGAGACUAGGCUGAUCACGUAUAAAGCAUACCACAAUAAAUUAUGAAGUUCAAUCUUCAAUAAACUAAAUGUUGAAGUAUGAAAUUAGGGAGAAACAUAGAUUUAGAAAGGUAAAAAAAGAAAAAAAAAGAGGAAAAAAAACACUAUUAAAAUAAAUAGUGUUUUAUGAGGUGAUGAACAAUAAAAUCAUCACCUCUUUUAGUUUAUACUGCUAGUUAUUUGACAUGCGCUUCUCUGCGGGUCAGAUAAUUUUUUUGGAAGAAAAAAUAUAUGCAAGCUUUUCAAAUGUGUUUUUGUACAAAAAGAAAUCUAGUUGUAAAUCGAAAGGCAUAUACAUGCAUUUAAUUAAAUAAAUCAAGAAUCAUCUCUGUUGAUAAAUGCAAAAAAAAUAAAAUUGUUGACGUGUUGAUUCGAUUUGCCUAGUUGCAAGUUGAUUAUUGUUUUUUCCUAACGUAAUGUGUAGAUGUUAUUAACAUGUUUUCUUAUGACGAGUAAAAAAUUAAAUCUGAAAUAAAAAGUCGAAGAUUACAUAUAAUAAAAUAUAAUGAAGAUCACAUGAGUUAAUAAAGAAAUGUAAGAUCUCAUGCACAUUUUUAAUGUAGUAUAAAAAUAAAACAAUGUUGCAAUUGUUACAUUUAAACAUCAUUUUCUUAUUCUUUGUAUAAUAAUUGUUCAAGAAAACAAAUUACGAAAGAAUAAAGAUAUGAAAAAAAAUAAAUUAAAAUUAAAAUUAAUAAUAUUACAAUGUUUUUGUAUUCUGGUAAUUUUAAAGCUAGUUUGUUUAUUUUUGCGUUUUAAAAGCAUUUUAAGAAAAAAACAAUUUUAUUUUUUUUACUAUAAAUUAAAUUUUUAAUGAUUUUAGAUCUUUAUAAUUUGUUGAUGUUAAAAAUAAAUUUUAAAAAAUAAAAAAUAUAUUUUUAAAUAUAUUUUUAAAUAAAAAUUAUUUUUAAAAUAAUUAAUAUCACAACUAGUGCAAUACUAUUCUAUUUGAAAUCCCACGCUGGUAUAAGAAGGCUUAAGCCAUUAGCUGCUUGGGCUUGUUUCGUAUACAUGUUAGAAUAGUUUGUUUUGGUUUUGGUUCAAUUGAGGGCCCGCGAACAAGAAACUUAUGCGGGGCUGUAAUCAUUAAAGAAAAUUAUUGAAUACACAGCCAUGAGAUAAUUAAUAAAAUCCUAAAUAAAUAUAUUAUCCUUGCAUUCUAAUUUAAUAAAAAAAAAUUAACGAAAAUAAGCUCUCUCUUUUUUCUGUCGUUAGAUAUUAUUUGAAUUUUACCGGGAUAUUCUAAAUGCCUUGUUUUAUAAUUAAUGGGUUGCUACUGUAAAAAGUUAAAGUCAAGAAGGCUUUCAUAUUAGGCCUCGACAACAUUAUUUUCUUAAUUUUCUUGUUUUUUCUACAUGUAUUUGGAUUUUUUUUCUUUAUUUUUUUUCUGGUUAUUUUAGGAUUUUUAUUUUCAGUAAAAAUAAGUUGAAUACUUAUUUAAACAAGUUGUAAUUUAUUUUUAUAACUAGUAGCUAGUAUAUAAACAAUUAAGUUGUAUUAGGCCUAGAAAACAUUUAUUUUUCUUGUAAUUUAUUUGAUUAUUAUUGAGAAUUAUUUUGUCUUCGUGUGAUAAAUUAGCUCUGGAGUAUCUCAAACCUUUUUUUUAAAAAAAAAAACAAUUGUUUUCUUUUCAAUCUUGUUCAGCUCCGUCAAGCUUUUUCUUAACUAGCCAUUUACCAUUGCUUUGCUUUUGAUAAUUAUAUCAUUAUUUUUAAAAUAAAAAUUAUGAUGCACGUUUUUAUCUAUUAAAACAUAAAUUUAACUGAAUUCUAGUUAUCAUGUCCAUGAACACCUUGUAAUGUUGGAUUACUAUCGCCUCAUUCUCCAUUCCAGCAAUAACUUAGACUUACUAGUAGUAAUCUCAUUGUUCUUAAUUUCAGUGAUGGUUUUUUAUGUUUCGGUGAUUCGUCCCUUUUAAUCCUACUGUGAUCUUUAUCAGGUUACUUGUGAGCAUGUUAAUUUACCUAGGAAAGGUUUUGAAAAUGAGGUUGUUUCGCGGCUCGGAGGGGUGGUGCAGUGGUGAAGCAUAUGAUAAUAAGAGCCUGAUGUUUAGUGCUCCUGCAAACAAGUUUUGGUCCUGAGGAUUACCUUUCUUUUCCUGGCUUGUCUAAGAGCAUCAGGACAGUUGCACACACCCCAAGCUUUCUCUCAUUUAAAGAUAUCAUGAAGGGGAAUAAGGAUGAUAAAUAUUGCGGUAUCUGGCAAAGAAUUUCAACUUCAGAAGCUGAUACGAAGAAAUCAUUUUUUCUGCUAGUAAAUGUCUCUGAGACAAUAAAAACUCUCUCUUUUAACUUCUUGCGGUUCCAAACAUGAGACAUAAAUCUUGAAGUGGUAUUCCUUCGGAAGAUGAUGGAAAAUCCCAUCCGUGCCAAAUGAUAAAUACCAAAGCACAUCAGUCGGAAAAAAAUCAAUCCAAACACUGCUUUUAGGCAUCCAAUACACUAGAGCUUGCAGGAACAAAUGGAGUUAACAAAUAUCUUCUGCAUAUUUCAAGUGGGGAUUUGCCUAGUUAUAAGAUGAGUGAUGAUUUCAAUUUAACCCAGACAGUGAUGCUCUAAUUGAUUCUACAGUACACGAGAAAAGUGUGCUUCGUUAAAAUUACAUACAAUGUCACCCUAAAAUAUUAUAAAGACAUUUAAUGUACUAAAAGAAAGAGUUCUUCCAAAAUUAAGAAAUAUUAUAAACUUCAAUGUGAGCUCAAAGUUCACAUUUUCAACUAGGAACUGUGAUAUCACCUCCAUUUGCGUGCAUGCCAAGAGUUCGCAGCUCCAUCAAAGAAAUCUCAAGACCUGCCAAUGAUCUCUUGGAAGAUAGAAAUUUUUGAGACACGAAUUUCAUCGAAGGUCGAGAUUUUAGAUUCGAAUGUAAGCAAGAGAAUGCCAGAGUUGCAAUAAUACAUAUAUUCUGUAUGACAAUUUCAUCUGUUGGAGGUGACACACGAGGAUCUAACACUUCUUUCAGUGUAAUAGCCUGAGAAGAUGAUGAUAGGAAAUCUCCUGGAUGCCUUCCCAUCAAUGUUUCUAGCGCCACUACUCCAAAGCUAUAGACAUCACUUUUCUCUGUCACCAACAUAGUAUAAGCCAACUCUGUCCAUAAACAAAAUGAAAUUAAAAAAUAUAUAAAAAAGAGUUUGCUUUAAUGUUGGUGUGCAUGACAUUAGUGAUACACGUAUAUAAAGAAGAAAUAUUUGACCUGGGGCAAUGUAUCCAUAGGUACCAGCAAGUACUGUAUGGUUGGACGAAUCAGGAUCGAGAAGUCUAGCCACACCAAAAUCAGCAACAAAAGACUUGGAUUUUGAAUUCAACAGAACAUUGCUGCUAGAUAUGUCUCGAUGAAUAAUUGGCGGGUUGCAAUCAUGAUGCAAGUAAGAUAAUGCGUGAGCAAUGUCUUUAAUGAUGUGUGCUCUUUUCAUCCACUUCAAUUCCACAGCUCCAACAUCAUUUCUCAAGGCACAAAACAAGCUUCCCUUUUCCAUGUACUCGUAAACAAGAAACAUGCAGCGCUGGUGCAAACAGAAUCCAUAAAGCUUUACAAUGCUCCUGUGACGUAUUUGUGUGAGCACUUCCACCUCAUUUUUGAAACUCUUGUCAAAAGCCGCUCCUCUGCCUCUCGACGAUGAAGUUUCUUCAAGGCAACUAAUUUCCCACUUGGAAGUUGUGCUCGGUAGACGCUCCCAUAACCACGGUUCCGAUACAAUAUCUGAGGUCAAAGUUCUCGGUCGCUGCAAUGAUGUCUUCGUAUGCAAUCGUCCCAUCAUAAUUCCAUAUGGAAAACAAGUCUCCAUUCUUUGAUGAUGCUGGCUCAGGUUGGGUAGCCUUGCAUCAAGACAGAUAACAACAUCCGAGACACAAGAGACAAAGUAAAAUGGUGGUGAUAGGAAGAAAUAUCUUAAUGGAAUGAAUCCUUCUGUUAGUUUUUGAAGGUAACGAACAGUUUGAGAAAUCAGGGUGUAAAUAUUUGUUGCCCUCAAAUGCAGUAGCUUUAAAAGUUGUAGAAUCGUCGGUAAUUUUCCCACGAAGAAGUAAAUCACAUGUGAAAUAAAAAUCAAAGGGUGGUGGAAAAUUCAAGGGAACAGGCCUGAGAGAUUAUUGUAACUAAAAUUCACAUAUUGUAAAUAGGUCAAAUCAUAUAUAUUGGAGGGUAUCUCUUCACUUAAAUUAUUGCAGCUCAAAUCUAGGAAGGUCAAAUUAUUACAAUACUUCAAAGAUGAAAGGAUGGAUCCAUUGAUUUGGUUUUCAAAAAGGUUUGGUUCUCUAUAACGGCCCAUUAUAGAAGGAAUCAAACCACUGAUAUUGUUUGAAUUCAGAUAUAAAUCUUUCAAAUUUAUCAAAUUUCCUAUCUUGAUUGGGAUGGAUCCAUUGAUUUGGUUGUAGGAAAGAUAUAGAAGAAUCAAAUUGGAUAAAGGGCCUAAAGUUGAAGGAAUUGAAUCAACUAGGGUAUUAUAGGAAAGAUCUACAAAAAUCAAAUUGGAUAAAAGGCCCGAAGUUGAAGGAAUUAAACCACCUAGGCUAUUAGAGGAAAGGUCUAAAUAUUAUAGAUUCGUCAAAUUUCCUAUUUCCAAAGGGAUGGAUCCUUUGAUUUGGUUCUCACAAAGAAAUAGAGAAAUCAAGUUGGAUAAAAGACCCAUCGUUGAAGGAAUUGAACCAACUAGGUUAUUAGAGCAAAGAUCUUAAUCUUCAAGGUUCGUCAAAUUUCCUAUUUCCAAAGGGAUGGAUCCGUUGAUUUUGUUUAUAAAAAAGAUCAAAGACCUCAACUUGGCUAAACUACCCAUUGUUCGAGGGAUUGGACCAUUAAGUGUAUUAUUACUCACGUCCAAAAUCUCUAGAUUCUUCAUGUUCCCUAUUUCACUAGGGAGGGCACCUUCGAAACUAUUGUGAUCCAUUUGUAAAUGCGUUAGAUUUUCCAAAUGACAAAGUGCCGAAGGGAUUGGGCCGCUGAAGUUGUUAUGUGUAGAGACUCUACAACAGAGACAGAUGAGGCAAAAUAAUUUUCUUAAUUUCAUAUGUGCACAGAGUCUGAAUAUUUAUAAUACAGCUGUAAGUAAAUCACUCCUACUAAUUUGCUAUACAAAAUUCAAAAUAGAAUCUGGAGACGUGAAUCAAGGCAUGUAAUCAUAACCGAAAAUAGAGGUCCAGGUUUGUUAAGUCUUCUCCACUUGCUGAGGUUUGGCCUGAUUUAUAGUUGCUGCAGAAUCUUCUACGUGAUCAACGGAUUUCAAUUCAAUACACCCAUCAACCGAAUGGGCAGCUCCUGCACAUGAAGGUUGGUUCGUAGAUGAUUAAACCGUGCAACAGCCAAAGGUUUAGUCAACAAAUCUGCGAGCUGAUCACGUGUGGACACGAAGGAGACAUGAAGUUUCUGUUGCACAACUUGAUCUCGUACUAAAUGAAAGUCAAUUUCAAUGUGUUUCGCAUGAGCAUGGAACUUUGGAUUAGAUGAGAGAUAAAUUGCACCAAUAUUGUCACACCAAAGAGUUGGACAGUGUUGGAGAGGCAUUUGGAGUUCUUGCAGCAGAGAUUGAAGCCACUGCAAUUCAGCAACAGUGUUGGCCAGUGACUUAUAUUCCGAUUCAGUGCUGAUGCGUGCCACUGUUUGUUGUUGUUUGCAGUUCUAGCUAAUUAAAUUGGAUCCAUGAAAGAUACAAUAUGCUCCUACACUUCGUCGGUCAUCACUGUCACCAGCCCAAUCGGCGUCACUAAAGCCUUGUAAAGUAUGAUCAGACUGAGGAGUAAUAUGUAAACCAUAAUUGACAGUGUAUUUGAGAUAACGAAGUAUACGUUUCACUGCCUGCCAAUGAACAUCUUUGGGCUGAUGCAUGAACUUGCUCACCUUGUGAACUGCAAAUGCAAUGUCAGGUCGUGUAAAACCAAGAUAGUGUAAGGCACCAACUGUACUUUGAUAUAAAUAAGGGUCGUCGAAAUCAAUACCCUCAAAUUUGGAUAGUGUGCAGUUUGUGGACAUUGGCGUGCUGCAAGGUUUUACCUUAUCUAGCUUGAGUCUUUGUAACAAGUCAAUUACAUAUUUUCGUUGAGUCAGAAUCAAAUCACCACCAUCAUGCAGAGUUUCAACUCCAAGAAAAUAUGAUAAUUGUCCCAAGUCUUUGACAGGGAAGGCACGUCCAAGAUAAGAAAUUAAUUUGUUGACUUCCUCAAAGUGAGAACCCGUGACAAGUAUGUCAUAACAUAUAUAAGGAUGAGCAGCUGGAAACUUGCAGUCUGUAGAAUGUAAAGAGAAGGAUCUGAUUUGGAGCCUACAAAACCAUACUAAAGCAAUUGAUCUGUCAACCAAGAAAACCAAGAACGGGGAGCCUGACGAACACCAUAUAGACUUUUCUUUAAACGACAUAUGUGAGUGGGAAAGUCGGGAUGAAUGUACCCUUGAGGUUGACACAUAUAUACCUCUUCAUCUAACAGUCCAUGAAGAAAGGCAUUUUAAUAGUGCCAUCAACAUAGCCAAACACUUUUUGACCUUUGAGAUAGGGAAGCAUGGUUGCUUUCCAAUUUAGAAAAUUGUUGUGAGUAAGUUUGGUGAUGUUGAGGCUGGAAGAAGGAUUAAAGACAGGUAGAGUGUUGUUAGAAGUAGAGGAAGAAUGAGGAGAGGUGGCCAUGGUGGCUAAGAGGAAUAUGAGAUAGGAGUUUAGAAGGAAGAGGUGAAAAUAAUGGACAGAGAAGGAUCUUUAUGAGAAGACGUAAGUCGCCUGCUCUGAUACCAUGUAGAGAUUAACAUAGACAGAUGAGGCAAAAUAGUUUUCUUAAUUUCAUAUGUGCACAGAGUCUGAAUAUUUAUAAUACAGCUGUAAGUAAAUCACUCCUACUAAUUUGCUAUACAAAAUUCAAAAUAGAAUCUAGAGACGUAAAUCAAGGCAUGUAAUCAUAACCGAAAAUAGAGGUCCAGGUUUGUUAAGUCUUCUCCACUUGCUGAGGUUUGGCCUGAUUUAUAUAUAGUUGCUGCAGAAUCUUCUACGUGAUCAACGGAUUUCAAUUCAAUAUUAUGAGACAAGUUCAAAGUAACAAGAUUUUUAAGAUUGCCUAGUUCUGGAGGGAUGGAAUUGAUGAAAUUAUUGUAAGAAAAAUCAAGCUCAACUAAUCGGCUGAGAUUUCCAAGUGAAGACGGUAACUCACCUGUUAAAUUAUUUGAGGACAGGUUGAGGUGUCUGAGUUGUGGGAGGAUAGAAAUUUGAGGCGGGAUGCUCCCACUGAGCUCAUGCUUGGCCAGGUGGAGACGGACAAGGUUUGAGAAGCAAGAAAAGUUCAUCUUUGCAAACUUAUUUCCCACCUUGACGACCUCUGGAGGUGGGGAAAUCUCAGUGAUGCUUCCAGCCCGAUCACAGACUAUGCCAGUCCAGUUGCAACGAUAUGAGGUGAGGUUGCUGUAGUCACUCCACCAUCCACUCUCAAGCAAAGCCUUGCCUUCUGAUGCUAGCAAGGCGGAGUCAUCAAGUGCAGCCACAAGACCAGUACUUGAUACAAAAAUACAGGACAUGAAAAUUGAGGUGCUUAAAAUUGCAAGAAGUUUUGGCUCAUGAUCAAUGGAUGCCAUGUUUGUGUCUAAUGCUUCCCUUCAAUGAUAAUGCUAAGUUUAUGAAUGAAGUGCAUGGCAUUCCCAUGGACUCGUUCCAAGUCAAGAUCGUCUGUGUUUCACGUGUACUUUUCUUGCGUUGUGAUUAAGAAAAAGGCUUACAAAUCACCAAUAGUGGAUUUUGGAAAUAAAGAAGGCCAAUCAGUUAAUUCUAUUCUCCCUGAUUUUCCUGGAAAGAGACCGAGUAGAAAAAUAAUGCUAAUACAUUGUGGUAUUCUGAUCAUCGUGCCAUCAAUUUGUGGAUUUGAUUCUUAGUCAAUCCCUAUUGCCCACGUCUUGUAGAUGAAGUUGAAAUAUUUUUACCUGGGGCGAUGUAUCCAUAGGUGUUCUGCUGCUGCCACCUGUCAAGAGAAUAGAGAUAUAAUGGUUAGCAAGUUUGCUAAUAUGGUUAGACAGUUAACAAAGUCUGUUACUGUUGAUUAGAUUACGUAACCAAGCUUCUCACCUUUAGUUCAUAUAAAAUGAAUGUAACAGUGCUGGGAAUGUAAGCAGUGAAUAAUACACAGAAACAUUUUCUUCUUCCUCUGCAUUGCAGGAUCUUUCUCUAAUUCUGUUCGCUUCUUGUUCAUCUCUGUAACAAUUCUUACUAGCUUAUCAAUAGGUACCAGCAAAUACAGUAUGGUUGGACGACUCAGGAUCGAGAAGUCUAGCCACACCAAAAUCAGCAACAAAAGACUUGGAUUCUGAAUUCAACAGAACAAUGCUGCUUGAUAUGUCUCGAUAAACAAUUGGUGGGUGGCAAUCAUGAUGCAAGAUAAUGUGUGAGCAAUGUCUUUGAUGAUCUGUGCUCUUUUCAUCCACUUCAAUUCCACAGCUGCAACAUCAUUUCUCAAGGCACAAGACAAGCUUCCCUUUUCUAUGUACUGGUAAACAAGAAACAUGCAACGCUGGUGCAAACAGGAUCCAUAAAGCUUUUAAAUUGCACAUCAUGGUAGGAACCGAACCAUGGAUAUUGUUUGAACUGAGAUCUAUUGUUUUCAAAUUUUCCAUGCUCUCUAUUUCGUAAAGGAUGGAUCCGUUGAUUUGAUUGGAAGAAAGGUCAAGAUAUCUCAAAAUGGUUAAACUGCCUACUCUGGAAUGAAUGGAACCACUGAUAUUGUUUGAACUAAGAUCUAAUGCUUCCAAAUUUGCCAAGUUCCAUAUUUCCAAAGGGAUGGAUCCCUUGAUGUGGUUGUAAGAGAGUUAUGGAAAUGCCAAGUUUCUUAAAUUGUCUAAUGAAAAAGGAAUCGAACCAGUGAUGUAGUUCCGAUGUAGAGAAAGUCCACACAAGUUCUUCAAAUUCCCUAUUUCUGAAGGGAUCGAACCUGUAAUCUUGAAAGACUGAUGUAGUUGUGGUGUAGAGAAAGUCCAAAACCUGUGUUUUUAUUGUCUAGCUUACAUUGUUAAGCAAUUCACAGCAUCAAAAAUUAAGAACUGACAAAAUGCAAUGCCAACUGUCAUGGUAAAGCAGCGUCAAAUAAAAUGGAACUUGAACAAUGUGAGUUGAUGGGUGAAAAUGAGAGCAUGAAAUUUCACCACCAAUGGUUUCUCGUACGUCUCAGUUUGUUUUUAUUGGUCUCAACAAUCUGUCACUCAAAAGAACAGGCAUUCUAUUUUUUAUCACGAACAGUGGCAUUUGAAAACUAAGAAGCCCAGGCAGUCAAUCCAUCCUUUCAUAGAAAGAGACCGUGCAGAUAAUAAUUGCUCGCAUCUUGUAUUGCCAUGUUUGCGCUUGCCUGCGAAAUUUAUGAAUGAAUUAAGUGCAUGGCAUUUUCAUGGACUCAUUCCACGUCUUGUGGGGCCUUUGUUUCAUAAAUAGAGUAGAUGAUGAUCCGGUUGCUUCCAAGAACAUGCAAUUGGCAAACUUUCCUUGAAGUAGUUGAGUCGAGACUGACAGUGUUGGGACUUGGGACAUGGUUUAAUGUCCUGGAAAAAUAUCCAGCAUGCCUAUGUUAAUAAGAAGAAGGCCCCACCCUACCCACAUACACAACCCUCCACACACACACACAUAGUACAAGAUCUUCCUAGUUCCUUACCAUCCCCUCCUUGGGUUGACCCACCCACGUCCCCGUCUAUCCCCAAGACCACAGUGCACCCCACCCGGUAUUUCUUAAUUUAACCCAUAAAAUCAAAAAUUAAAAUUAAAAUCCCAAAACUUUAAAAAUGAUUCAUCAAAUCAGGCCAAAUCCGACAUGCAAAACCCAAUACGAGUCCACAACUUGCCAAUAUGGAAAAGGCCCAGCUAACGAGCCCAUAAUCUCAUUCAGACAUAGCCUAGCACCCGAGCUCAUCUGGAUAAUAGAAAUAUCCAAGGAAGCGCGUGGCCAAAACCCUUAAGGAAGGUCACGCGCCUCCAAAACCGGUGUUUACUGCCUGGCUUGCAUUGUUAAACAACUCGUAGCACCAAAAAUUAAAAAAUGAAGAAAGGGAAUGCCAACAGUCAUAGUGAAGCAGGCAGCUUCAAAUAAAAUGCAAUUUGAGCAAUGUGAGUUGAUGGAAUGCCAAGAGCAUUGUUUUCUCAAACUACUCAGGUUUUAUUGGUCUCAAGAAUUUGCCACUCAAAAGAACAAGCAUUCCAUCUUUGAUCUGGAUGCCCCCCAAACAUAAGUUUUUUUACCUCAGCAAAAUAAAAAUGAAGCAAGGCCAUGAUGAAUAACUUUACAACAAUUCAGCAUUUCAACACAAUCUAUACAGCACAUACAAAAAUUGGCAACCGUGAAAAAAAAUGGAGAGAGAGGGAGGGAGGGGAAAACCAGAUUGCUGCUAGAAAGAACUCCAAUUGCCAGAACUCUUUUUGGGAGUUUGAUCUUCAGAUGAAACCUUAAAGGGGGCGCUGGAGCCAAAUGGAUCUCCAUCAUCAAAUGAAGAGAAUGCACGGCUGUGGCCAAAAUCUUUGGAGCUGUUUAUGGAGUCGAACCUUGUAAGCUUUUCUCGUGGUGAAAAGCCUCCUUCAUUCAUGCUGAAGGAACCAAAUCUCGAGUAAUUGUCAAAAUGGUCCCCUGCUUCGCUGAACCUUGGAGAGUUGCCAAAUCUUGACAUUGGGGAACCUGCAACAGAUUCUUCAAAAAAUAUACUCUUUUUCUGGAAAGUAUUCGUUGUUGAUGUGGAUUCCGUUCUGAUUGGCUUUAGACCAAAAUCUUCAGAUCCAAAGAAAUCUCUCUCGUUCUCAGAAGAGUCCUGCUAGAUGACACAACCAAAUAAUUGAGGGCAAUGUGAAGAGAUAUCUCAGACUUUAUUAUUUAAUCGAUCACUGCAACACCCAUCAUAGCAGCAGCACCAAUCCAUAAAAUAAUUUUAAUCAAAAUAAUUUGUAUCUUUAGCAUUGUUUGAGCUCUCUAAUAGCACAUGGCAUCUCUCACACAGGUAUAUUCCCCCCCUUGAGGAACUCUGGAGGUGGGGAAAUCUCAGUGAAUCAGUGAUGCUUCCAGCCCGAUCACAGACUAUGCCAGUCCAGUUGCAACGAUGUGAGGUGAGGUUGCUGUAGUCACUCCACCAUCCACUCUCAAGCGAAGCCUUGCCUUCUGAUGCUAGCAAGGCUGGGUCAAGAGCAGCCACGAGACCAGUACAAAAAUGAGAUGCUUAAAAUUGCGAGAAGUUUUGGCUCACAAUCAACGGAUGCCAUGUUUGCGUGGUAAUGCUUCCCUUCAAUGAUAAUGCGAAGUUUAUGAAUGAAGUGCAUGGCAUUCCCAUGGACUUUUCUUCCUGUCUUUUGAAAUCAAACAUGAUGCAUGGGUCCAUGCGUUCACUGCAAGACUUUUAAUUCUAUCAAUUCCAUGCUUCAGAUUGUCUAGCAAGUCCUUUUCUUUUUCCACAAAGGAGAAAAAGGUUCAUCAAUAGUAUCAUUUGGAAAUUAAGAAGGCCAGUCAGUUAAUCUAUUCUCCCUGACUUUCAUGCAAAGAGAUCGAGAAGAAAAUAAUCCAGAUACAUGUAUUCUGAUCCUCUUGCCAUUAGUUUGGGGAUUUCAUUCUAAGUCUAUCCGAAUUUUAACAUUUUUAAAUGUUUGUUUGUUUUUUGGUUUCAAAAAUGUUUUGAAAAUUUUAAUUUUUUUUAUUUUUUUCUUUAUUUCAAAUUAAUAAUUUUUUAGUGUUUUCAAUUAGUUUGAUGUGUUAAUAUCAAAAUAAUAUUUUUAAAAAUAUAUAUAUUAUUUUGAUGCAUUUCCGAGCGAAACGCACUUUGAAAAGCAAUCACUACCAUAAUCUCAAAUAUCCCUUUAGGCCCUUACUUUCAAAAAUAGAGUAGACUAGAUUAUUGUCCGCACUAUGUUGCAGGUCGGAUUAACUUUUUUAACAUCAAAAAAUAUCUAAGUGUUAUUAACUUGUUUUCUAGUUGAAAAACAUUAAAACGAGUAGGAGUUAACUUGAUAUGACGAGGUCAACUGGAAAAUCGUUAAAAAUAUAGUUUGACUAAAAAAAUUCAAGAUUGCAUGUUUUUUAAAAAAAAUAUUGAGACGAAAAUAUAUUAGAUCUACCCGAGUAAACCCGUCAAAUUCACGACCAAAAAUAUAAGAUCGAAAUAACCACAUAGAAAGUAAAUCAAAACCAAAUAUGAAACUCAAUUCUCAAUUAAACCAAUGUUAAAAGAUGAAAUUAAAAAAAAAUCAAAAAACAAACAACUCGAGUUAACUUGGGUUAACCUGUUAAAGCUACAACCUAAGUCAUAUGACUAAGAUAACUCCUUAUAAACCAAAUCAAAACAAAUUAUGAAGUUCAAUUCUCAAUUAAUCCAAUGUUGAAGUAUGAAAUUGAAAAAAAAAUCGAUUCAGAAAAACUGAGUCAACUCCGGUUAACCAGUCAAACUCUUGAACUAUGUAAUGAGAUUAAGAUAACCUCAUAGAAAACAAAAAUAAAUAAGAAGCUUAAUCUCAAAUCAAUUAAAUAUUAAAGGAUAAAUUUGAAAAAAAUAAAUAAAUAAAAGGAAAAACAAACCUAAGUUGACCUGUGACUCAAGAUAAGAAAUCUUAAUUUUAAAUUAUGAAAUUAAAAAAACAAACAAAAAAAACCCUGAGCCAACUCAGGUUAACUCGCUAAACUGUAACCCUAGUAAUGAAACCGGGAUAACUUUAGAGAAAGCAAGACCAAAAAAAUAUGAAGCCUGAUUCCAAAUCAAUCAAGUACUAAAGGAUAAAAAUGAAAAAAAAUUACCUAAGUUAAAUUGUCAAACCCGUGAUCCGGGUCAAAAAAAUUAGGAUAACCUUAUAGAAAGUAAAAAAAAAAAUAACCUGAGUCAACUCGAGUCAACCUGAUAAAUCCAUAGAAAGUAAAUCAAAACAAAUUAUGAAGCUCAAUUUUCAAUAAACCCAUUGUUAAAGGUUGAAAUUGAAGAAAAAAAAUUCAAUAUAAAAACAGAACACAAUAAAACAAUCUCAGUCUACAUGCGUUAACCUACAAAAUACGUGACCCAAAUCAUAAGAUUAAGAUAACUUCAUAGAACACAAACCAAAAUAAAUAAUGAAACCUAAUUGAUAAUCAACUCAAUAUUGAAACAUAAAAUUGAAAAAAUAUCAAUUAAAAAAAGACAAAAACAAUUCGAGUCAACUGGGUUAACCCGUUAAACUUGCGACUCGACUCAUUAAAUCGAGAUAACCUUAUAAAAAACAAACCAAAAUAAAUUAUAAAGCAUAAUUAUCAAUCAAUCCAAUGUUGAAGAAUAAGAUUAAAAAACAAAAUCAAUUACAAAAAACCCAAAUCAACCGAAUUAACCUGCUAAACCUGUGACAUAGAUUACAAGACUCGACUAACCACAUAUAAAGUAAACCAUAAUAAAUUAUAAAGCUCAAUAUCCAAUAAACUAAAUGUUGAAGUAUAAAAUUAAGGAGAAACACAGAUUUAGGAGGGGAACGAAAACAAAACACUAUUAAAAUGAAUAGUGUUUUGUGAGGUGAUUAACAGUAUAAUCAUCAACUCUUUUAGUAUAUACUACUAGUUAUUUGAAAUGCAAUCCUCUCCGGGCUAGAUAAUGUUUUUGGAAGAAAAACACAUGCAAGCUUUUCAAAUGCAUUUUUGUACAAAAAGAAAUCUAACUGUAAAUCAAAAGGCAUAUACAUGCAUGUAAUUAAAUAAAUCAAGAAUCAUCUCUUUCAAUAAAUGCUAAAACAAUAUUAGCGUGUCUAUUCGAUUCACGUAGUUGCAAGUUGAUAAUUAUUUUUUUAUAGCACAGAUGAAUUAAUGUGUAGGUGUUAUUAAUAUAUUUUUUGAAGACGAGUAAAAAAUAUAAUCGUGAAAUAAAAGGUUGAUGCUUACAUAUAAUAUAAUAUAGUGAAGUUCAUAUAUGUUAAUAAAAAAAUAUAAGAUCUUAAGCUCAUUUUUAAUGUUGUAUAAAAAUAGAAUAACGUUGUAAUUGCUACAUUAAAACAUCAUUUUUUUAGUCUUUGUAUAAUAAUUUUUGUAAGGUGAAAGCAAAAGUUUCAUAUGCAAAGAAAAUAAUUACAAAAGAAUAAAGAUAAGAAUAAAAAAUAUUAAAUUAAUAAUAUUGCAAUAAUUAUGGAUUCUGGUAAUUUUAGAAUCAGUUUGUUGUUUGUUUUUUGCGUUUUAAAAAUAUUUUUUAUUUUUUGCUUUAAAUUAAUUUAUUUUUUUAAUAAUUUUUAAUAUUUUUAAUAUACUAAUAUCAAAAACAAAUUUUAAAAAUAAAAUAAUACUAUUUUAAUAUAUUUUUAAAUAAAAAAUACUUUGAAAAAUAAUUCUUCAAAACAGAAAAUGAAUUGUUAGUGAUUCUGGUAAUUGUACGAUUCUUGCAAGAAUUUGAAAUCCCGCGCUGGAAUAAAAAGGCUUAAGCCAAUAGCUGAUUGGGCUUUGUUUCAUAGACAUGUUAGAAUAGUUUGUUUUUGUUUUGGUUCAAUAGAAGGCCCGACAAGCCUCGAACAAGAAAGAAACUGAUGCGGAGCUGUAAUCAUUAAAGGAAAUUAUUGAAUAUACACAGCUAUGAGAUAAUUAAUAAAAUCAUAAAAAAUUUAUUAUCCUUGCAUUCUAAUUUAAUUGCAGAAUUGUAUCGGCGACUUGUCAAUUGUCACCAAGAUAAUGGGUAUGUAUAUAGAGCUUUCAUGCAGGAGAAUAUGAACUUUCAUAUAAUCAUUUGUUAUAAUUAGACUAUGUAGAACAUUUAGCAUAUACGAUCUAUGAACGACCGUCCAAGAAAAAAUAUGAUGCUCCAAAUAAUUUUUUUUUCCAGGCUUGUCUAAGAGCAUCAGGACAGUUGCACAUACCCCAAGCUUUUUCUUAUUUAAAGAUAUCAUGAAGGGGGAAUUAAUGGGAUGAUCAAUGUGAUAACAAGGUAAAGAAUUUCAACUUUAAAAAUUGGUUUCAAUAUUUUAUAAAUCAGAUGCUGAUACGAAGAAAUCAUGUGCUCAUAAUCGGAUACUAUGAUAUAUUUUCUCUGUUAGUAAAUGUCUCUGAGACUGAAAAUAAUCUAUAGUUAUGCAUCUUGUACAGCUACAGUGUUGAGCAUUUUACUAGAUAGACAUGGUGGCCGAUGUUGGGGCAUGCUGAUAUCCAAAAUUUACACAAUGGAGGGUGGACAUCUCGACUCACCAUCCUUUGAGGUCAAAGCUUGGUCCCAAACAUGAGACGUAAAUCUUCCUUUGGAGUGGAAGAUGAUUGGAAAUUCCAUCUGUGCCAAAUGAUAAAUAAUAAGGUAGAGAGUAGAUCCAAUCACUGCUUCCAGGCAUCUAUUAUACAAAAGCUUGCAGGGACAAAUUAAUGGAGUUAACAAAUAUCUUCUGCAUAUUUCAAGUGUGGAUUUGCCAAAUUAUAAGAUGAGUGAUGAUUUCAAUUUAACCUAGACGUACAGAGAGGUAGACUUAAUAUGAUAUAUGCUCAUUUAUAUUGAUACUAGCCAUCAUGCACAAGAAAAGUGUGCAUUAUUAAAAUUACAUACAAUGUCACACUAAAAUAUUACAAACACAUGUAGUGUGCUAAAACAAAACAAAAGAAAAAAAGUUCAUCCAAAAUUAAGAAUUCUAAAAACGCAUGCUCUUGGAGGCUCUCGUUGAAGUUCCAUGCGAGAUCGAAGUUUACUUUUUCAGCGAGGAACCGUGAUCUCACCUAUAUUUGUGUGCAAGCCAAGAUUUCGUAGCUCCAACAAAGAAAUCUCGAGACCUCCCAAUAAUCUCUUGGGAGAUAGAAAUUCUUGAGACACGAAUUUCAUUGAAGGUCGAUUUUUUGGAUUUGAAUGUAAGCAACAAAAUAUGAGACUUGCAAUGGUACAUAUAUUUGUACGACAAUCUCAUUUGUUGGAGGUGGCAAACGAGGAUCUAACACUUCUUUCAGUGUAAUAGCCUGAGCAGAUGAUGAUAGGAUAUCUCUCGGAUGCCUUCCCAUCAAAGUUUCAAACGCCACAACUCCAAAGCUGUACACAUCACAUUUCUCUGUCACCGCCAUAGUAUAAGCCAACUCUGUCCAUAUACAAAUCGAAAUUAAUAUAUAUAUAUAUAUAAAAAAAAAAAAGAGUUUGCUUUAGUUUUGCAGUGCAUGAGUGGUAAAUAUGGAUGUUAAGAAGAAAUAUUUUUACCUGGGGCAAUGUAUCCAUAGGUACCAGCAAGUAUAGUAUGGUUGGACGAAUCAGGAUCAAGAAGUCUAGCCACGCCAAAAUCAGCAACAAAAGACUUGGAUUCUGAAUUCAACAGAACAUUGUUGCUUGAUAUGUCUCGAUGAACAAUUGGCGGGUUGCAAUCAUGAUGCAAGUAAGAUAAUGCGUGAGCAAUGUCUUUGAUGAUGUGUGCUCUUUUCAUCCACUUCAAUCCCACAGCUUCGACAUCAUUUCUCAAGGCACAAAACAAGCUUCCCUUUUCCAUGUACUCGUAAACAAGAAACAUGCAGCGCUGGUGCAAACAGAAUCCAUAAAGCUUUACAAUGCUCCUGUGACGUAUUUGUGUGAGCACUUCCACCUCAUUUUUGAAACUCUUGUCAAAAGCCGGCUCCUCUGCCUCUCGACGAUGAAGUUUCUUCAAGGCAACUAAUUUCCCACUUGGAAGUUGUGCUCGGUAGACGCUCCCAUAACCACCGGUUCCGAUACAAUAUCUGAGGUCAAAGUUCUCGGUCGCUGUAAUGAUGUCUUCGUAUGCAAUCGUCCCAUCAUAAUUCCAUACGGAAAACAAGUCCCCAUUCUUUGAUGAUGCUGGCUCAGGUUGGGUAGCCUUGCAUCGAGACAGAUAACAACAUCCGAGGCACAAGAGACAAAGUGAAAUGGUGGUGAUAGGAAGAAAUAUCUUGAUGGA
rnacentral:lncRNA from 1 species